CAGAUAUUAAGGUGACUUUUCCUCUCAUGGUUUUGGUUGAUACAUAAAGACAAUAGAUGCUAUAUUUCAAAGUAAAGCAAUCACACAGGCUUUACUAAAGAGAUGGCAGACUUAGCUUGUAACACUUAGCUGACCACCCACCUCCAGCUAUAAAAAUGUUUGAAGAAAUUUAAAAGGAAGACAAUGAAGACAGAGUCUUUGCAAUGAAUAGCUGGUAAGCUGAAAUGCCAAGUGAAAAGAACAAGGUGCCAGAUGUUUUUUCUCAAGUCUACACUGGAGGGCUCCAAGGAGACCACUCAGAGAACUCAUGAGUUUCCUACAGUGACUGGUAUAAGUUGCCCAUCUGAAUAAUCUGAAGCCCAGCAUUUGUUCUUGCCAGGAGCUGAUGACAGAUGAAUCAAAAGAGAAGAGGUUGCAUUGGUGAGACAGUAGUCUGUGAGGGUAGAGAAGAAUGAUCCUUGGAAGACAAGUGGGAUUGGAGGGCUCAGUGGGGAGAGUGAGAGAGCCAAGCAGCACUGGAUUUUCUUAGGUCUAGCCUGAGAAGAUCACCUGUAGGAAUAAAUAGACCUUAGCAGAGAAAAUCUGAAGGUACCACUGGAUGGCCAAGGGCUGAGGAAGGAUUAGCAACAAGUUUUUUAAAAGCACAUCACCCACACCAAGGGAACUGUAGGCAAGAGGCUCCAGCUAUUGCAGGCAGGACAGGAUGAAUGGGUAGACUACAAAGAAUCUACAAAACCCAGUCAGCCUUCACACCUACCUUCCCCUAAGAGGAGGAGUUCUGCUUGUAACAGUCCUGGCCAGAACAAGACCUGUGAAGGAAGAUUGGGCAGAGGUGGAGCUAACCACGGUUCCAACAGAGGCUUCAGCAGAUCCUACCAGGAGCUCUACAACUGGUAUAGCCCUUCAACAUUGUCCCAAUUGAGGUAACCGCACCAGGCUUUUGUACUCAGCAUUGAUUAAGGUCUCUGUUGUGAAAGAGGGCCUGAGGGGACAUGACAGUUCUAACACCUUGGAAGUUAGCAGAAUGUACAAAACAGAAAUUAUGUCUACAGCUGAACACAAAUUUGCAUUACUCUGUCAUUUAGCUCAUCCCUAUUUCUCCAGUCAUUUGAAGUCCUUCCAGUAUUAACUGUAACUUCUCCUAGAUCCUGAAUAUUCAAGUCUCUCCUCAAAAAAACAAGUAAGAAAUGUUAUUUACACAUCAUAGAAAUCACCAUGCUGUCUCAGUUUCCCUGAGCUUGGGAGAGCUCCUCAGGAAAUCAAAGAGAAAAUGACUCUGAGAUUAACAUAAACAUUAACAUUAAGCAUAAAGCUUUUUGGCUCCUCUGCUCGGAAGUACUCUUCUGAGGACUGACCCAUGACUUGCCAGGGAACAGCUGGUGCUCAAAAUGCCUUCUUAUACAUCACCAACAUGCUUCUAAGGUUUUAUUUCUAAUCCUACAGGCCCCGGGAUGUAGUUAAGAGGCUGCAUAGGCCAGAAAUUCCCAUUUUUAC
rnacentral:lncRNA from 13 species